rnacentral:lncRNA from 1 species
CCCUGCUCAGUGAAGAGUCUGCCCCCCCCAUAGCUCCUCUUGCUUGUGCUCUCCCUCUGUCAAAUAAAUAAAAAAAUCUUAAAAAAAAAAUCUGCCCUUUUCUAUGGUAGACCAUCGCCAGGCCUGUCCUGUAGAAGCAUCUGGCAGCCCAGUGGCAUGGCAAGGAAUCAAGUGUGGCAAUAACUAUGUUAUAUAAAGUCCUUUGUCAAUGCUAAUAGCUGUGUUAUGUUACUGUCGUGCAGUGGUAUGUUUUGAACCUGACCUUGGAUAUUAGCUUACUUGAUGCAUGGUAAUACAUACUGUCCUUGGGUACUGAUGCUGACGGAUCCUGCCUACCUCCAAUGCAAGCUCCCGGGUGUAAAUGAGACAAGAGUCUGCAGUUGGUGGCUCCCCUGGCUCUCCGGAGAGGAUCCCUAGUUUCAUGCAGGCUGUUGAAAAUGGUUACAAGUUUGUGUGAUUUACAUACGUGUACAGUGAAGUAUUUGGAAGAGAUGGACUUUGGCCAGUCGAUGGAAUUUUAUUUGAUCUUCUCAUCAAAUGACUUUAAAAAUGAAAUGAAAAGUUCCAGCUUUCAUUUUUUAAUUCUUUUGGCAAGAUAUGAUGAAAAUAAAUCCAAGAAGAGUAGGAAGAUGUCAUGUGAAAUGCCAAGAAAAUGGAUUAACAAAAAAAAAUCAUCUGUUUUAAGGUGGAGCAGUUCAAAUAUUAAGAAAAAGAUCUCUUUCUUUUGGCAAGAGAGACAUUUUGGUGGUUUUAUUUCUUGGAUAAAGAAUGGGUCAUUCCUUAUUUAA